CCCGACCGACCAUGGCGGAGGUGGUGCAGGUUCUUGAGGGCCUUUCUGAGCUCGACAUGCCACCGCUGCCAAGACUACUCAAUGCUGUCACAGGAGGGUCACCAAUAUCACGUUGACAUUUAGUUUUACCGCAAACUUAUUUGUACUUAAAAAAACUUUUAGCAACUAAUGAGAGCAUUGUAGUUUUUAUCCUAUAUAAACUUUACCUUUUGUAGCAUGCUAGAUCUCUAUGCAACAGAGGGGAGGUAUCGUCUUACAAAAAUAGCAUGUAUAAUGCGUGUAACUUUUGGUACCUAAGGAGGAAAUAAACUUGGUGACACUUCAUUCUCAUUUUGCAAAAAGGUUUGUGAUUCAAUAGAGUGGUACCUUAGUGUUCUCGUCAGAAGAUGGUAGAGCUGCUCUUGAACAGCGCACAAUCCGAGUCAAAUCCGACAGAACAGCAGAGACACGAGAACAGCAUGCGCGCGUCAGUGUUGCAUCAUCACGGCGCGUUGUGCCCAGAGGCAAUACGUCGAGCACCUCGCGUGCACUGCCCACUGCACACGGCGAGACAGGGCUUCAGGGCAUGAAUGGAACUUGACAGAAUGACAGGGAGGGAUGAAGCAGUAAGCGUUCGAGGACGAGGAGAAGCGAGAAGGAGAAGCGAGAGGUCGGGGGCAGUUAACGUACCAGAGAUCGCCGCCAGCGGCACAAGUUUUAUGCGGCGACCGGGCAGGUGGAGACUGGAGAGGCGAGCCACGCCGCCGGUGCUCUGUAAUGUGGAGUGUGGGGACUGGGGAGAGCUUGAGU
rnacentral:lncRNA from 1 species